rnacentral:rRNA from 1 species
UUCAGCGGCGGACGGGUGAGUAACGCGUGAAGCAACCUGCCUUCAACAGGGGGAUAACGCAUCGAAAGACUGUGCUAAUACCGCAUGAGACCACAACAUCACAGUGGUGAAGGGGUCAAAGGAGAAAUCCGGUUGAAGAUGGGCUCGCGUCCGAUUAGCUGGUUGGUGAGACAACAGCCCACCAAGGCGACGAUCGGUAGCCGACCUGAGAGGGUGAUCGGCCACAUUGGAACUGAGAUACGGUCCAGACUCCUACGGGAGGCAGCAGUGGGGAAUAUUGGGCAAUGGGACGAAAGCCUGACCCAGCAACGCCGCGUGAGGGAAGAAGGGUUUUGGCUCGUAAACCUCUGUCCUGUGGGACGAAGGAAGUGACGGUACCACAGGAGGAAGCCCCGGCUAACUACGUGCCAGCCGCCGC